AGGAAAGAACCUAUGACCCAGACGGACGAACAACCUAGCCGCACACUGCAGACAUGAUCAGAGGCCUAUAGAGGAACAAAAGAAUCAAGCGACUGUGUAUAAAACAAUAAGCAGAUGGUACACUUUAUUAAUUAUUUUUCUAGCUGUUUUUCCUUUAUCACCAAGCAGCACAUAUUAGUUGGGUAAACAAUAACCAGGUGGUACAUUUGAUAUCGGAACCCCCAUACAUUUAUUAUCUCUACUCAUUUAAAGAACUAACCCGAGCAGGCAUUGCAAGACUAUUAAGAAUCGGUAUGAAAUUAAGAAAAGUGGGCAUCCUCUGUAAACAUGGAUAUCGACCAAUGGCAUAUGAGCACACAAUCACCCAGGAAGAAAACCACCAAGACAAGCAUAAGUAAUCAAGAACACAUUUUUUUUCUAACAAGAUCUGAAGGAAAACCCAUACAAAGCACGACAAGCAUAAUAAGGUGAACCCCGAAACACAUAGACAGGCAACCUAGCCGCACAAAUGCAGGAGUUCACGGCCUAUAUUAUCAAGAAGUAAUAACCCAAGGCAAUCUGAGUAGACCUAACCUUGUUGGUUAACGGCAUGGUCGAACGAACCAACAAAGAACCUGCACAGCCAGAGAAACAUGCAAUGCAAAAUGUUUCAGCUCACAGGCAUUUCAUCGAACAGGAGACGGCAUGAAAGAUAUUACCACAUCUUGCAAGAAUAUAAGGGAAAGAAACCCCACAUUAGCUUAGGAAAACCAAAUGUGGCCGAGACUGCCGCAUCCUCUGCUUAGGCGACAUCCAGCAGAGCAUAGUGCAGAACUGCAGAUUCAGAACAUGCAGAUCAUGUUAAGUUAAAUACCCGUAUAUAUGUGCAAAUAUAUCACUUCUAAAUUUCACCAGUAAGUCAUGACAACAGUUUGGCAUUAACAAUAGUGUAAAAAAAUAGCAGGAAGCAUACUUAGUUAAUCGAAUACAUCACAAGCUUCAAUUGCUGAAACAAAUAGUCCAAUGAUCAAAUUCAAGAGAAGUAAUUUGGGUUUCUGUAUUAAUAGAUAACAUGAGCUGAUAGUAGCAAUUAAAAAAGUCAUCAUAAACCUGUCUGGAAAGCUGAAUUAAAGCUUUGAAGCAAUGGGUGCCAAUAGCAUGAAGUAAAGAAAAAAAACUUGAGGCGGG
rnacentral:lncRNA from 1 species